GACGAACGCUGGCGGCGUGCUUAACACAUGCAAGUCGAACGGAAAGGCCCUGCUUUUGUGGGGUGCUCGAGUGGCGAACGGGUGAGUAACACGUGAGUAACCUGCCCUUGACUUUGGGAUACUUCAGGAAACUGGGGCUAAUACCGGAUAGGAGCUCCUGCUGCAUGGGGGGGGGUGGAAAGUUUCGGCGGUUGGGGAUGGACUCGCGGCUUAUCAGCUUGUUGGUGGGGUAGUGGCUUACCAAGGCUUUGACGGGUAGCCGGCCUGAGAGGGUGACCGGCCACAUUGGGACUGAGAUACGGCCCAGACUCCUACGGGAGGCAGCAGUGGGGAAUAUUGCACAAUGGGCGGAAGCCUGAUGCAGCAACGCCGCGUGCGGGAUGACGGCCUUCGGGUUGUAAACCGCUUUCGCCUGUGACGAAGCGUGAGUGACGGUAAUGGGUAAAGAAGCACCGGCUAACUACGUG
rnacentral:rRNA from 1 species